rnacentral:lncRNA from 1 species
UUACUUGCAAAGGUUAUGUCAGAGAAUAACAUAUUCAGAAAUUUUCCUCUUCCUUCAUCAUUUGAAUUUGUGUACUAUUUAGAACACUAUUUGUGUUAGCUGUAUAAGCAGGGGAAGAACGUUAGUCCCUUUCUUAAAGAGUUUAUGAUUCAAGCAUAGACAGGAUAGAACCAAGCAGGUGGUGGGGUUUCAGGUGAACCGAUGGCAGGCAGACUGCUGUCUUGGUGCACCAGAAAGCAAAUCCCUGCCAAGGCAUAUGUGAGCCACUGCAGCAGAGAAGAGUUCUGCUGAGCUGCUCUGCCUCACAUUGGAGCAAUCUUCACUCAUGCCUCUGCAAUCAACAUGAAAGCAAUUACCAGCUCCACAGCCUUAUAAAGGACAGACGGAAAAAUGGGUCAUCUCAAAAGCAAGUGGAGACAGUAUAACAGACCUGUAUGAAAGCCAUCAAAGCCUGCUUCUAAACUGGAAUAGCUUCACACUGACUUUCCAGAGCUGGUUUCAAGGUUCCUGAGCUCAUGAGUGUAUGAGGAAAAGAAAAAUCCUGUGCAAAUUAAAGAAAGUGGAAAGAGAUCUGGCAAAGUACUGGUGCAAACAGGAGUCAUCCAGGAGUAUUUAUCACGAUUUCAAUUUAGUAGGUCUGGAGUGUUCUUUGGGGACACUCAUGAGGCAAGUCCUAUACAUCCAUUCCAUCUGUAGAUCCUCCUUUUACAGUGAUGACUCUGCUUCUAGACCUGCAAGUACAUGGGUACGUAAGAGCAUUUGGGCAGCUAAUCUGAUCACUGCAUGAUAUCAUAUUCAUGACCUCAUGUAACUGUGGUGAUACAUGUGCUGGCAGCAGUGAGAGAGAUGAACAGCCAGGAAAUACUUUUUCCCUCUGGAAGGUGGGUUGGAAGAGCAGUAGAAGGAGCUACCAGAUCGUGUUUGAACCCAAAACUCAGACUCCUGAAUUCCUUCCUACCUCCCCAGUAGCCAGAGCUUUAUUCUGCUGAAUCCUUUUCAUAAGAAUGUUUUUACCUGUGCCACCGACAUAACUUUGUUUUGUAGUACAUACAAUCUAUGUAAUGAUAUAAAAUAUCCAGUAAACAAGCAAACAACAAAAGCAACAACAACAACAAAAUCCUGAGCUGUAUCUCUCAGGUUGAGCAAAUUGGGUGUCUUUGAUACUCGAGUGAAGCAUUCAAACCUAGAUGCCAGAAGUUUAGCAUCUAAAAUAAAUAUGUGACCAGUUCAGAGCA